rnacentral:rRNA from 1 species
AGAGUUUGAUCAUGGCUCAGGACGAACGCUGGCGGCGUGCUUAACACAUGCAAGUCGUGGGGGGGUAGCAAUACCUCACCGGCGAACGGGUGCGUAACACGUGAGCAACAUUCCGAUUUCUGGGGGAUAGCCGGCCCAACGGCCGGGUAAUACCGCAUACGCUCAUUGAGAGGAGUCUCUCGAUGAGGAAACCUCCGGGGGAAAUCGAGUGGCUCGCGGCCUAUCAGCUAGUUGGCGGGGUAAUGGCCCACCAAGGCGACGAUCAGUAGCCGGCCUGAGAGGGCGAUCGGCCACACUGGAACUGAGACACGGUCCAGACUCCUACGGGAGGCAGCAGUGGGGAAUUUUGCGCAAUGGGGGAAACCCUGACGCAGCAACGCCGCGUGGAGGAUGAAGGUCCUUGGAUUGUAAACUCCUGUCAGCAGGGAAGAAGGCCUGGGGGUGAAUAUCCCCCAGGAUUGACGGUACCUGCAGAGGAAGCCCCGGCUAACUCUGUGCCAGCAGCCGCGGUAAUACAGAGGGGGCAAGCGUUAUUCGGAAUUAUUGGGCGUAAAGGGCGCGUAGGCGGCUUCGCAAGUGAUGGGUGAAAUCCCUCGGCUUAACCGAGGAACUGCCCCUCAAACUGCGUUGCUUGAGUCCGGGAGAGGUGAGUGGAAUUCCCAGUGUAGCGGUGAAAUGCGUAGAUAUUGGGAGGAACACCAGUGGCGAAGGCGGCUCACUGGACCGGAACUGACGCUGAGGCGCGAAAGCGUGGGGAGCAAACGGGAUUAGAUACCCCGGUAGUCC